rnacentral:rRNA from 1 species
CCUACGGGAGGCAGCAGUCGAGAAUCAUUCACAAUGGGGGAAACCCUGAUGGUGCGACGCCGCGUGGGGGAUUGAAGGUUUUCGGUUUGUAAAUCCUUGUCUUGUGGGAGCAUAUUACAAAGUUUGUACCAUAAGAGGCAGCGACGGCUAACUCUGCGCCAGCAGCCGCGGUAAUACGGCGGUCUCAAGCGUUAUUCGGAAUCACUGGGCGUAAAGUGUGCGGAGGCUGUUUUAUAAGUCGGGGGCGAAUAGCGGGGGUGCAACCCCAGGACGGAACAUGAAACUGCGAGACUGGAGUGUGGGAGGGGGAGCCGGAAUUCUUGGUGUAGGAGUAAAAUGCGUAGAUAUCAAGAGGAAUACUCGUGGCGAAGGCGAGUUCCUGGACAAUAACUGACGCUGAGGCACGAAGGCCAGGGGAGCGAACGGGAUUAGAUACCCCUGUAGUC